UUGCUCUUCAACGAGGAAUGCCUAGUAAGCGCGUGUCAUCAGCAUGCGUUGAUUACGUCCCUGACCUUUGUACACACCGCCCGUCGCUACUACCGAUUGAAUGGCUCAGUGAGGCGUUCGGACUGGCUCGGGGAGGUUGGCAACGACCACCCCAAGCCGGAAAGUUCGUCAAACUCGGUCAUUUAGAGGAAGUAAAAGUCGUAACAAGGUCUCCGUAGGUGAACCUGCGGAGGGAUCAUUACACAAAUACAAUAUGAAGGCUUCGGCUGGAUUAUUUAUUUCACCCUUGUCUUUUGCGCACUUGUUGUUUCCUGGGCGGGUUCGCCCGCCACCAGGACCACACCAUAAACCUUUUUUGUUAAUGCAGUCAGCGUCAGUACAACAAAUGUAAAUCAUUUACAACUUUCAACAACGGAUCUCUUGGUUCUGGCAUCGAUGAAGAACGCAGCGAAAUGCGAUACGUAGUGUGAAUUGCAGAAUUCAGUGAAUCAUCGAAUCUUUGAACGCGCAUUGCGCCCUUUGGUAUUCCAAAGGGCAUGCCUGUUCGAGCGUCAUUUGUACCCUCAAGCUUUGCUUGGUGUUGGGCGUUUUGUCUUUGCUCGCCAAAGACUCGCCUUAAAACGAUUGGCAGCCGACCUCUUGGUUUCGCAGCGCAGCACAAUUUUGCGCUUGCAAAUCAGCAAGUUGGCACUCCAUCAAGAACAUUUUCUUACGUUUGACCUCGGAUCAGGUAGGGAUACCCGCUGAACUUAAGCAUAUCAAUAAGCGGAGGA
rnacentral:rRNA from 1 species